rnacentral:lncRNA from 1 species
UUUAAUUAGGUUAUUGAUAGGUUUAGGUUAGUGGCUGGUUUAGGUUAGUGGUUGGUUUAGGUUAGUGCUAGAUUUAGGUUUAGAUAAUUAGAAGAAGAAGAAAGUUGAAAAAAAGAAGAAGAAGUAGAAGAAGAGGAAAAAGGAAAAAAGGAAGAAGAAUAAGAAGAAAGUUGAAAAACAGAACAAGAAAGGAAGAAGGAGAAGAGGAGGAGGAGGAAGGAGAAGAAAGAAAAAGGAGAACAAGAAAAGAAGAGAG